UACGUAGGGUGCGAGCGUUAAUCGGAAUUACUGGGCGUAAAGCGUGCGCAGGCGGUCCGCUAAGACCGAUGUGAAAUCCCCGGGCUUAACCUGGGAACUGCAUUGGUGACUGGCGGGCUGGAGUAUGGCAGAGGGGGGUAGAAUUCCACGUGUAGCAGUGAAAUGCGUAGAUAUGUGGAGGAAUACCGAUGGCGAAGGCAGCCCCCUGGGAUAACACUGACGCUCAUGCACGAAAGCGUGGGGAGCAAACAGG
rnacentral:rRNA from 1 species